rnacentral:rRNA from 1 species
AGUGAACGCUGGCGGUAGGCCUAACACAUGCAAGUCGAACGGCAGCACAGUAAGAGCUUGCUCUUACGGGUGGCGAGUGGCGGACGGGUGAGGAAUACAUCGGAAUCUACUUUUUCGUGGGGGAUAACGUAGGGAAACUUACGCUAAUACCGCAUACGACCUACGGGUGAAAGCAGGGGAUCUUCGGACCUUGCGCAAUUGAAUGAGCCGAUGUCGGAUUAGCUAGUUGGCGGGGUAAAGGCCCACCAAGGCGACGAUCCGUAGCUGGUCUGAGAGGAUGAUCAGCCACACUGGAACUGAGACACGGUCCAGACUCCUACGGGAGGCAGCAGUGGGGAAUAUUGGACAAUGGGCGCAAGCCUGAUCCAGCCAUACCGCGUGGGUGAAGAAGGCCUGCGGGUUGUAAAGCCCUUUUGUUGGGAAAGAAAAGCAGCAGGUUAAUACCCCGCUGUUCUGACGGUACCCAAAGAAUAAGCACCGGCUAACUUCGG